rnacentral:rRNA from 1 species
GAUGAACGCUGGCGGCGUGCUUAACACAUGCAAGUCGAACGGAAAGGCCCAAGCUUGCUUGGGUACUCGAGUGGCGAACGGGUGAGUAACACGUGGGUGAUCUGCCCUGCACUUCGGGAUAAGCCUGGGAAACUGGGUCUAAUACCGGAUAGGACCACAUUUUGGAUGGUGUGGUGGAAAGUUUUUCGGUGUGGGAUGAGCUCGCGGCCUAUCAGCUUGUUGGUGGGGUAAUGGCCUACCAAGGCGUCGACGGGUAGCCGGCCUGAGAGGGUGUACGGCCACAUUGGGACUGAGAGACGGCCCAGACUCCGACGGGAGGCAGCAGUGGGGAAUAUUGCACAAUGGGCGCAAGCCGGAUGCAGCGACGCCGCGGGGGGGAGGACGGCCUUCGGGUUGGAAACUCCUUUCGCUAGGGACGAAGCGUUAUGUGACGGUACCUGGAGAAGAAGCACCGGCUAACUACGUG